rnacentral:lncRNA from 1 species
CCCACUAUUUAGCAACCAGAUGCAAUGAUUGAAUCUUGGAUGAUGAUGCAUCACAUGGCACAAGGCUUGAGUUGUAUCUUUCUCCCAAAAAAAAAAAAAUUAUUUUCCUUUGCACGAUACCAUUGUUGGAUCACCUAGCUCAUGGAUCUCAAAAGCACCUCAGACUCUCCCGUUCAUCUGUUGGCAUAGACCUCAGAGCAUUAGCUGAUGAUCC